GGAUGUGAAGGCGAUCUGGCUGCGACAUCUGUCACCCCGUUGAUCGCCAGGGUUGAUUCGGCUGGUCUGGCUGGCUAGGCAGGUGUCCCCCUCCUCCCUCACUGAUCCAUGUGCGUCCCUCCCAAAGCU
rnacentral:snRNA from 1 species